ensembl:snRNA U6 U6 spliceosomal RNA
GUGCUCCUUUCGGCAGCACAUAUACUAAAAUUGAAACGAUACAGAGAAGUUUAGCAUGGCCCCUGGAUGAGGAUGACAUGCAAAUUCAUGAAAUGUUCCAUAUUAAA